rnacentral:rRNA from 1 species
UACGUAGGGAGCUAGCGUUGUCCGGAAUCAUUGGGCGUAAAGCGCGCGUAGGCGGCCCGGUAAGUCCGCUGUGAAAGUCCAGGGCUCAACCCUGGGAUGCCGGUGGAUACUGUCGGGCUCGAGUCCGGAAGAGGAGUGUGGAAUUCCGUGGUGUAGCGGUGAAAUGCGCAGAUAUCAGGAGGAACACCAAUGGCGAAGGCAGCACCUCUGGGAGCGGUACUGACGGCUGAGGCGGCGAAAGCGUGGGGAGCGAAGCAGGAUUAAGAAACCCCGGUAGGUACCGCAGACCGAAGUACCUCUG